AGUUUUUGGCUACGCUGUAGCGAGCAAAAGUAAAGUUCAAGCGCGUACAUACGGUCAGAUGCAACGCUGUAUUCGUACAUAUUCGUAUUUACGCCUUAAAGGGGAAUACACACUUUAAACACGUAGCUAACGCUUUGAAGGGGACUAAGUUUGUAAAAGUUGGACUCGAAGCUAUUCGAGCCCUGUCGAGAGGCUGAGGGAUGGAAAGAGACAGAAGGAUGGAAAGGUCAAAGACUGGACUCAUGGCAAACGGGAAACAGAAAAAUAGCUCGCAAUAACGCCUUGCUUUCAGACGAGUAAGGGAAAACCCAAUACAAUACGAUACGAUGGAAAAGUGGGGGAACAUUCGCUCGCUUAGUGCGAACGCGCCAUAAGUUGUUCAAAGAGGAACGUUACGAUGUGCAAACAAUACGCGCAUUGAGACUCAAAUAAUUCAGCUUCUAAGUAAAAUUACCAUGGAACAAUGUGUGCAUUAUUUUGAAAAGAAUAAUCUAACGCAAGCUAUUCAGCCAUCUUUCUAACGGUUGUUGGUAGUAUCGCCCAUAUUUAAGAUAAUGCCACGAACCAAAUAGAACACAGAGGAGCUAAAAGUGGAUUUUUUGAGAUCGUCUGGACCAGCUAAAUAAAUAUAACGAUGAUACAAUAUAAUUGAGAAUUCAGAAGGCUAAUGUAUCCUGUGCCUCAAAAUUUCAACAAACUCGUUGUUAGCGGUAUACUCGAUUUUCCACAAACAAUAUCAUAUUCGUUUUUCCAUAUAUUCGUAUAUCAAGCUGCUUACACGUACACGUAUAGCAUAAUCGAAGAGAGGUGGUAGAAGAUAUUGCCAACAAGUUGCAAGAAACAAGUUUUCUUUGACCAAGAAAAAAGAACUUGUGCAUCACAGCGUAGUACAAAUUCAUAAAAAAACAAAGUGUACUUGUGGAAAAGCCGGUACGCGUCAGCUGCUAGUUGUGAAAAAAACUCAAUGUUCUGUUCAUCUAGGUAGCUAGCAUGAACAAAGGCCGGGAAAUAAUUAACCAAUAUCCGUUGGUAUUUCUAUUUUUCACUGUAGAGACGACGUUAUGCCGAUGUAAUGUUGUGACUUGUAGCACUGUUGAUAACUAUUUAGCGAGGUAAAUUGCACUUCGAUUCUAUACCAUAAAACGACUAAUUCUGAUUCCAGAAGGAAACACGUCUGGAUACUGGAUAGGAUACUGAAUAGUCAAUGGUAGUAGGUAGGCCUUGAUCAAACCAGAUCAAACGAAAUCGACUGAAAUCGAUUACGGUCUUAGACCAUAGAUUAUAAACAUUAAGUAUCAAUGAAUUAUUCACAGGUUGGCUAUUUAUACCGUCAACCAUAACCAAUUUCACGGAUCGAUCGUUGUUUCGAUCAACAGCUCUCCGCGUACUCUCCGAUUUGCUAGCAUCGCAAUCUUCGACAGAUUACCCCGGCUUCGAUCGAUAAUCACGUUCGAUGCCAUGCAAGUAACGUGAAUCGCGCGCGUUGCCGCGAUAAUUGAGCAAAAAACGACGAGAGAAAUCUCGUCCUAUCGGACUUUCCAUCAAACCACUCGCUCGAAUCUCGGAUGACUAAUCCGUUCUACGACAUCGUUCUACGUCUUGUGUUUCUGGGUGAAGUUUAACAUUGUCGUGUGAACACCACUUGCGAGUUGCACGUGGAAAAUGUGAAAUUGAUGCCAGGAAAGUGAUACUAAUUGAGCGUAGAAUGUGUGCAAUUGGCCUUGGAAAAUUGAUUCCAAUUGCACGUGGGAAAUGCGAGACUGAUGGCGGAAAAUGGAUUGCACAUUGGAUAUGGAAAAGGUGGAAAUUGAAUUUGAAGUUGAACCGAGAUAAUUGAUUCUGAUUGAAUGUAGAAAAUGUGCGAUUGAUUCCGGAAAAUUGAAUCUAAUUACACGCGGAAAAUUGAUUCCGAUUGGAUGUCGAAGAUGCGGAACCGAGCCUGGAAAAUCGAUUGUAAUCAGAUAUGGAAAAUCGAGUGUGCAAUUGAUGGAAGAAGAUCCACUCACACGGGAAAUGGGAAGUAUGAAAUCGUUGGUGGAAAAUUCUAUAUGCAAUUAUAUAUGGAAAAUAUGGAAUUCAUGGUGGAAAAACGACAUUAAUAGUAAAUGGAAAAUAUGGAAUGGUUUUUUAGAAAAUUCGAUAAUUGGAUAUGGAAAAUAUAUCUUUCGCAAGAAGCUACUGACGAUGAUAAUACUAAAGAAAUUAUAGUAUGUAAUAUUAUUUCUAAUUAUAAUUACUUAUUAAAUAUUUUGGAUUUUCAUAAAAUUAGUAAAGUUCAAAAUUAAUCGUGAAUCCUUUGAUUUCGUGACAUCGAAGAAAUUACGUUUCGACAGGGUCGAUGCAAGCUGUAUAUGACAGAAAUAUGAGCCAAGUAGAGAGUUCUUGGAUUACAGAGUGUCCAUCGCCGUGGAUAUUUUCUGUCCCGGCCUUAUCUCGCCAGAUCUUAUCGCG